CUUACCAAGGCUAUGAUGUUUAGGGGUCCUGUGAGGGUGGUCCCCCACACUGGUAGUGAGACACUGACCAGAGUCGUACCGGAGGCAGCAGUGAGGAAUAUUUGUCAAUGGGCGCAAGCCUGAACCAGCCAUCCCGCGUGCAGGAAGACGGCCUUAUGGGUUGUAAAAUGCUUUUCCAGGGAGAGAAACUUACGCACGUGUUGCGUGACUGACGGUACCCUGGGAAUAAGCAUCGGCUAACUCCGUGCCAGCAGCCGCGGUAAUACGGAGGAUGCAAGCGUUAUCAGGAUUCAUUGGGUUUAAAGGGUGCGUAGGCGGGCUAUUAAGUCAGUGGUGAAAUCCUGCAGCUUAACUGCAGAACUGCCGUUGAUACUGAUAGUCUUGAGUUUGGUUAAGGUAGGCGGAAUGUGUAAUGUAGCGGUGAAAUGAUUAGAUAUUACACAGAACACCAAUUGAGUAGGCAGUUUACUGAGCCGACACUGACGAUGAGGCACGAAAGCGUGGGGAUCAAACAGGAUUAGAUACCCUGGUAGUCCACGCCGUAAACGAUGAUUACUCGCUGUUGGCGAUACACUGUCAGCGGCUAAGCAAAAGC
rnacentral:rRNA from 1 species